rnacentral:rRNA from 1 species
CAGCCGCCGCGGUAAUACAGAGGGUGCAAGCGUUAAUCGGAAUUACUGGGCGUAAAGCGCGCGUAGGUGGUUUGUUAAGUUGGAUGUGAAAUCCCCGGGCUCAACCUGGGAACUGCAUCCAAAACUGGCAAGCUAGAGUAUGGUAGAGGGUGGUGGAAUUUCCUGUGUAGCGGUGAAAUGCGUAGAUAUAGGAAGGAACACCAGUGGCGAAGGCGACCACCUGGACUGAUACUGACACUGAGGUGCGAAAGCGUGGGGAGCAAACAGGAUUAGAGACCCCAGUAGUCCCUGUCUCUUAUAC